CAGACACAUAUAAAUAGUCGCAAUCCUUGGCUACAAUAGUCACAAUAAGAAGAUGGGUUUUGGUAAAGUUUGUUUUCUAAUGUUUCUUGCUGCUAUCAUUGGCCUCUCUGCUGCGUCUAGAAUUGGAGUAGAUGAAAACAGCAAACCUUAUUGCUCUGACCAUUGCACUAUUAGCGGCUUGCUUGGGAUUGACGCUUGCCAGCAGUUUUGUUGGGAGAAUUAUCAUGCUGAGGGCUCCUGCGUGCUUCAACGCAAUUCAAAAAGGCUUUGUUGUUGUACGCCAUGAUGAACCCCCAAAUGUUGCACACUACCCAAGAAUUUGAAAACUUCUACAAUUUAAUAUAUUAAUAAUAAGUACUCUUUAAUUAAAAAGAGUUUCAAAAUUUGUUCUCUAAAUAUGCAUGGCUUUUUUUUUUUUAAAAAAAGUUUAUUGAAUAUUGGAUGUAAUAAGUACUCUUUAACUUAAGUUUCAAAAUUUGUUCGAAUA